GUUGUUUUAAUUGAAUUACUGUGAAAAAGGUAGAACAUCCUGCCCUAUUUAUAUAAGCCCAGGGCUAAUCUAUUUCUCACCGCCCAAUGCCACCUGCACCACACACACACACACACACACACACACACACUAAUCCAAAACAAAGCUUAUUUUUCAGCCCAAAUAUACCAUUGUUCUCAAAGUCUACAUCACUGGAAUGACCCUGACUAGGAAAGUUACUUAGCAUGUGUUGAAAGCUGGAAGAAACUUAAAAAACUAUAAAUCCAGUUGGCCCCAACUUUUAAACUAUGAAAAUCACUUUUUAACAUCAGAAAAUUGCAACUCCACAUGAUAAUAGCUGUACCUUUUUUUUUUUUGGUAUUCUAUUGAUUGAAAAAUACGUGAAUAAAAUCAGUAUGAGUUCAGUAAAGCUUUGAAAUGAGUUUAUAUUUUCUUCAUCUCGGCAGCAUCUAUAUCCAUCUGAAAAGUAAUCAGUCAUAUGUGUGUGAAAAAUAGCUAACUUAGAGGGAGCUGGACCAAUUGUUAAGGGCCUUGAGAGACCUACAAGAAGAUUGAAAUUUAUUCUGUAGGCAAAAUGGAGUCAAAGGGGUUUCAAAGCCAAGUGGUAGAAUUCAAUUGAUUGCUUUUCUGAAGGAUAAUUUUGGCAGCAGCGUGGAGUGCCAAAUGGUAUAUAGAAAGGCCAAUAGCAGAAGGUCAAUUAGAAGGCAGAAGAUGAUGUCAGAAGCCACAGUGAUGCAGAAAUUCCUCUGGCCCCGGGCCCCAGAGACUGGGUAAUCUGCUGGAUCUUGGGCACAGCAGAGAGGACAUGGUCAAGAGGGUUUCUAAGCUUGGGAAACUGUGUUGGAGGAUGAGACCAUGAAGUCCUACAGAACUUACCCCAGGUGCCACAUGGAGUGCUCCAAUAAGAGAUGAAAUGAUUUUAGGAGUCCAGUAUCUUGGAACAGAGGCCCAAAGGGACUACACCUUCAGGCAUCGCCAAGAACUGCAGGUACCAAGGUCUGGAAGAGUGGGCAAGGCUGCCCAGGGUUCUUCAAGACUUCCUUUCUGCAAUAUACAAUGUGAAUAUUAAGGUAAGUCCAAUAAUAAUUGUAUUUUGAACUUUUAUUUUGUUUCAGCUAUUCUGCAGUUCUUUAAUCCUCUCAGUAUUUCUAAAUUAAAACAAAACAAAACCCUGCAAAGUUCAUGCCUUAUUUUCUGGCAGGUGGAAGAAUUAAGGGUCAGAGGGAACUUGCUCAAGGUCACAUAGUUUGAAGGUGAUGUUGCCAGGAUUCUAUAUUUGAUCUGUAUAAUUAUGUUACUCUGAUUUUCUCUCCCAAAGUGUAGCAUGAGAGCUUGUGAGAACAACAUUAGGUGGACAAGCUGGUUCAAACAUUAAUUAAAAGCCAAGGGUUCUAAAAUUUGAAACUAAGGUUUGUAACCAGGGAGGCCAAAUGGAGGAAAAAGAAAUGGGAUAGAUGCGUAGCCAGAAGGUAGGGGCAAUAGGGGCUGUGCUUGAUUUUUUUGCUUUUUCACUUCAUAGAUGACUCUGACAGGAAGCAUUCACUGGAAGCAAAAUUUAACCUGUACCUGUGUGACCAACAGGAAGAGGCCAAAAUAGGCUUUUGUCAUCACUAGGUGGCAGGCAUCAAGGAUAAGGUCAAGCUAAAGAGAGUUGUCCAGUGUGUUAGGAGGCCAGUGGCAGCAGUGCCAGUGAGAAGGUCUUUAAAGCAUUUCUUCAUACACUAGUUUCUAGAAUAUCUUUCUGGAAGCUCCAAAUACAUCUGGCUCCCAUUCAGCCAGCAAGUGCUUAUUGCAUGCCUUAUAUGUGCCAAGUAUUGCGCUCAGCUCUGGACUGUGUGAAAAAGAGUGGAGAGUUGAGAAAAGGUAGAGGGAGAAAUAAUAUUUAGGGAAAUGGCUAUUCUGUAGGAGGAAAAGAGCAGUUUGCUGUAUGCCGUUUCUGUGGAAGCUGAGCAGGUGGAAGAACCGUGGUGUCUGUAGGGGGUGUAUCAUAAGGGCACCUGCUGAUCCACCUUGUCUGCACAUGUCUGGGCAUUGAGCAGGAGGAUAAUUGCAUUGGCAGUUUUGAAUGUGUUGCCAAAUUGGAGCAUGUAUUAGAAUGGAAGGUUGGAGGCCAAUUGGUUGAAUAGUCCAUGAAGAUGGAGAAUCUCUUUCAUGAUUAGGUACUUUGCUCAAGAUUUGGGUAUUUGUGGAGUGAGUGGAGGUGCAGGGAGACACCCUGAAUGUGGUGGAGAGCACAUCUGAAGUGGAGGCCAUGAGAAUUAUAGAGGAAUUUAGCAUUGAGAAAGAUGUUGCUGCUUGGGCCUCUUCUUCUUGGAGAGGGACAUCAAGAGUAGGGUCAAGCUAAAGAGAAUCACCAAGUGUAUUAAUUUCCUAGGGCUCAUAUAAUAUAUUACCACAAACUAGGUGCCUUAAAAUAACAGAAAUUCUCUCUUAGUUCUGGAAGCCAGAAAUCUGACAUCAGGGUGUUGGCAGGACCAAACUCCCUCCAAGUCUCUAGGGGAGAAUCCUUCCUUGCCUCUUCCAUCUUCUGGUAGCAUCAGGUGUCCUUGGUUUGUAGCUGUAUAACUGCCAUCUCAGCCUCUGUCUUCACAUGGCUUUCUUCUCUGUUUCUCCCCAUGCAUCUUUUAUAAGAAUACUUGUCAUGGGAUUUAAGGCCCUCCUGGAAAAUCCAGGAUGAUCUUGUGUUGAGAUCUUUAACUUAAAUCUGCAAAGACCCUUUUCCCAAUAAAGUCACAUUCAUAGAUUCUGAGAUUUAGGCA
rnacentral:lncRNA from 12 species